rnacentral:tRNA from 1 species
AAAGCAGCACACAAAUGUGUGCUAAAAUUCUAUCGAUUGGAAACCGAAAAACUGUCAAGCCAAUAAAGAGAAAGAUUCGUGGGCCAUACGAGACCACGAGAAAGGGCUCGUAGAUCAGUUGGAAGAUCGCCGCCUUUGCAAGGCGGAGGCCCUGGGUUCGAGUCCCAGCGAGUCCAUUAGACCUCGGACUUUAAGUCUGAGGACUUACCAAUGCACUCAGCGGUGUAAUGCCGCUGCGGAAGGGUAGAUUAGCGAUUUUAGACCAAAAUUAUGCUAAAUGAAACCGUGUAUAAGCGCAACCCGGACGCUAACUGAAUGUAGUGAAGCGUGUUCU